rnacentral:rRNA from 1 species
GACGAACGCUGGCGGCGUGCUUAACACAUGCAAGUCGAACGAUGAAACCUAGCUUGCUAGGUCGAUUAGUGGCGGACGGGUGAGUAGCACGUGACUAACCUGCCCCUUUCUCUGGGAUAACGCUCCGAAAGGAGUGCUAAUACCAGAUACUCACAUCAAGGCACAUGCCUUGGUGUGGAAAGUUUUUCGGAAAGGGAUGGAGUCGCGGCCUAUCAGCGUGUUGGUGAGGUAACGGCUCACCAAGGCGACGACGGGUAGGCGGCCUGAGAGGGCGACCGGCCACACUGGGACUGAGACACGGCCCAGACUCCUACGGGAGGCAGCAGUGGGGAAUAUUGCACAAUGGGCGCAAGCCUGAUGCAGCGACGCCGCGUGAGGGAUGAAGGUCUUCGGAUUGUAAACCUCUUUCAGUAGGGACGAAGCGAAAGUGACGGUACCUAAAGAAGAAGCACCGGCUAACUACGUGCCAGCCGCCGCCGUAA